rnacentral:rRNA from 1 species
UAGGGAAUCUUGCGCAAUGGGCGAAAGCCUGACGCAGCAACGCCGCGUGGGGGAUGAAGGCCUUCGGGUCGUAAACCCCUUUCAGCAGGGACGAAAAUGACGGUACCUGCAGAAGAAGGUCCGGCCAACUACGUGCCAGCAGCCGCGGUAAUACGUAGGGACCAAGCGUUGUCCGGAAUUAUUGGGCGUAAAGAGCUCGUAGGCGGUUCGGUAAGUCGGGUGUGAAAAUCCAGGGCUCAACCCUGGGACGCCACCCGAUACUGCUGUGACUAGAGUCCGGUAGAGGAGCGUGGAAUUCCUGGUGUAGCGGUGAAAUGCGCAGAUAUCAGGAGGAACACCAGCGGCGAAGG